rnacentral:lncRNA from 1 species
CCAAACCAAGAACAAAGAAGAACAAAAGAAGAAAAGGAAGAGAACAAACCCUAGGUGGAAAAAUUCAAGGAAAAAGUGUGAAAAUUCAAGGAAACAAGUGAAAAAAAGGUAAAAUUUUUCAAUUUAGCUUGAGAUCUUUCUUUCCCAUGCAUUUCUCCUCAUUUUUCAUAGUUAAAUUACAUGUUUUCAUUAUGAAUUCAUGGCUGGUCGGAAUGGGUAUGGAGAGAGAAUGAUAUUAGAUUGAUUUGAUUUCAAGUUAUGUUAGUGUUUUUAGUUAGUUUACCAUGUCUAGAAGCAAAACAAUAAGAAAAGAAUCUAUUUUCCCCAUGAAUCUUCAUUGACCGAAUCUUCCUUGAUGUGUGUGGGUGAUGGAUUGUUAUUAUUUCAAGAGAAAUGGCUUAGAAAAUGAUGAAUAAUGGUGAGAAAAUUAAGUAGGAAAAAUCACGGUGUUAAUGCACCGUUAGUGACCGAAAAAUUUAAGAAGAAAAGUGAAGAUGGUUUUGCCAAUUUUAGGUUUUUUGACUUGUGUUUGGUGAAUUAAGGUAUUGGAAAAGAAAUGGAGCAAUUUGGAGCUAAUAUGGAUGCAUUGACCAAUUAAUCGGGUGAUAAGAUGAAUUAGGCCAAUACCGGGGAUUAGUUGGUUACCUGUGCAUUUUGAAUUCCAUAUCAUGCAUUAGUAGUCUAAAUUAGUUUAAUUUCGAUUUAGUACCAAAGUAGUAAGUUUCUCGAUUUUGUACUAUGUCAAGGUGGUGAGUCCUCCGAUAAAGGCAAGAAAAUUGCAUUCGAGGACCAAUAGUUAGAGUACUUCGAAAAUUCGUACUCUACACAUUGUGAGUAACCUUACUAUCGUCUUAAUUAUCUAAAGUAGUUUUUAUCCGAUUUUGUGAAUUUUAUGGAAAAUGAAUUAAAUGAUUAAUUUUUCAGUUUUAUAAACCAAAUGUGAUUUAGUGAAAUGAUUUCAUAAAAUUGUUUUGGAAUUGAAUGAUGAUUUUGAAAAUAGAGUAAAUGGAGACCCCUGAUGUGUUGUAAAUUUAUGAUCUGAAUUGAUGGCUUAGGUAAAUGUGUUGACAUGACUGGUUGGGUUAUGUUUUUGGUGAACUGUAUGAAUUGUUCUGUUUUACAUUUACAAGUUGGGUAGUAUAAUAUUAGUCACGUCAUGUUGUCAAAAUUUUAUUGUAUGGUGGGUAUUGCUUGCUGCAGUGGGCUAGGUUUUGUGGACUAGCCUAUUAGAGGGGCACCAAAUCCU